UGUAGCAACUGAUCCUAUACUACAGCAGAGAGAGUGAGAGUGAAAGGGAGGAGGGACAUCAGGUGUCACAGCUCUGCAGCCCCUGUUGAGGCUGCAUUACCACGACAACCAGCUCCAGGGGUGCCACCAGCUCUCUGCCUUGCCAGCCCAGCACCCAGUCAUCCACCCAGCCAGCUAUCCAGCUAUCUACCCGUCCAUCCGCCCAGCCAGCAAGGCCAGCCCUGCCCAGAACUGGCAACCUGAAGGAGUCAUCAGGCUGCCACAGAUGUAGCGAAGAUUAGGCGAGAGAGGAAGAGGCUGAGCUGACUCUGUACCCCCGGGGAGGAUGCAAUGAGGUGGAACCACUUCUCUGCUUCCCCACGGAAAAAAAAAAAAUCACUUCCACCAUCAGAGCGCCAUCUGCUGACUCGGUGGGGCGGGACAGCUGGUGUUGUGAAUCAGGCCGCCACAGUCCAGGGACCGGCUACUUCCCAACACCAGGGUCUCACUGCCACUCCUCUCAUCUCACUGUUCUUUCUCCUCUAUAAUUCAUCUGCUGAAAUCUUAAACUGGUAUAUGUAACUCUCACAAUUAUUUAUAAAUAUCCUUUUUUGUAAUGCAAAGUCUAAUUAAUGGAGUGUAUGUUUCUGCCUUAUGUUCCUCUUAAAUAUGAAUCAGAAAAUGCGUAACAGAAAUGUACAGACUGUGUUUUUAUUUUACUUUGUGUUCCAGUGGAUGUAACAAGCAAAAUAGUUAAAUGGUUACACUGUAUUUUUCAGACUAAAUAAAUAAAAUGUGUGGCUUCCAAAUUGUAUUAAUGGUGCUAUUCUGCUAAAGACUUGCAAAAUGUCAAUAAAUCACAUGGAAGUUAAAUAAAGUUUGCAAAAAUGUG